UAGGGAAUAUUGGUCAAUGGACGCAAGUCUGAACCAGCCAUGCCGCGUGAAGGAUGAAGGUCCUCUGGAUUGUAAACUUCUUUUAUCUGGGACGAAAACGGGAUUUUUAUCUCAGUUGACGGUACCAGAGGAAUAAGCACCGGCUAACUCCGUGCCAGCAGCCGCGGUAAUACGGAGGGUGCAAGCGUUAUCCGGAUUCACUGGGUUUAAAGGGUGCGUAGGCGGAUAUGUAAGUCAGUGGUGAAAUCAACGGGCUCAACCUGUUAACUGCCAUUGGUACUGUGUAUCUUGAAUAUGAGAGAGGUAGGCCGAAUGUUGCAUGUAGCGGUGAAAUGCUUAGAUAUGCUACGGAACACCGAUUGCGAAGGCAGCUUACUAUUUCGUAAUUGACGCUGAGGCACGAAAGCGUGGGUAGCGAACA
rnacentral:rRNA from 1 species